GACGAACCGUGCGAACGCUGUUCGGAAUCACUGGGCUUAAAGGGCGCGUAGGCGGGCUGCCAAGUCUGGGGUGAAAUCCCACGGCUCAACCGUGGAACUGCCUCGGAUACUGGCGGCCUCGAGGGAGGUAGGGGCGUGCGGAACUGUGGGUGGAGCGGUGAAAUGCGUUGAUAUCCACAGGAACUCCGGUGGCGAAGGCGGCACGCUGGACCUCGUCUGACGCUGAGGCGCGAAAGCCAGGGGAGCAAACGGG
rnacentral:rRNA from 1 species